CCUACGGGCGGCAGCAGUGGGGAAUAUUGGACAAUGGGGGGAACCCUGAUCCAGCCAUGCCGCGUGUGUGAAGAAGGCCCUCGGGUUGUAAAGCACUUUCAGUGAGGAAGAACGCCUGGUGGUUAAUACCCAUCAGGAAAGACAUCACUCACAGAAGAAGCACCGGCUAACUCCGUGCCAGCAGCCGCGGUAAUACGGAGGGUGCGAGCGUUAAUCGGAAUUACUGGGCGUAAAGCGCGCGUAGGUGGCUUGAUAAGCCGGUUGUGAAAGCCCCGGGCUCAACCUGGGAACGGCAUCCGGAACUGUCAAGCUAGAGUGCAGGAGAGGAAGGUAGAAUUCCCGGUGUAGCGGUGAAAUGCGUAGAGAUCGGGAGGAAUACCAGUGGCGAAGGCGGCCUUCUGGACUGACACUGACACUGAGGUGCGAAAGCGUAGGUAGCAAACAGGAUUAGAUACCCGAGUAGUC
rnacentral:rRNA from 1 species